rnacentral:lncRNA from 1 species
ACCUAGUUGAUCAAUUCUGUACAUUUAGAUAUAGUAAUCUAUUAUCUCUGCUAACUUAAAGAGUUUAUAAUUUUGUGUCUGAAUUAUGUUGAUUUUUAACUUGUAUUACCAUCUGAGAAACAUUGUUUUAUAUCUAGAAUACCUUCUUUAAUGCUAAAUAAGUUAAGUUUGAUUAUGUGUCUAUAAGUAGUCUUUAACUCCAUCAGAAAUCUGAGAAGGGAUUAAAUAUUACCUGAAUAAGUAGGAACACUAAGACAUACCUUCUAACUUAAACAGUUUGUAGAGGCAGCUGACUGCUUGGAUAGCCUCCUAUAUUCCUCAUAAUUUUCGAGCAUCUGUGUUUAGCAUUCUGGCCUCAAACCACAUGACAGACCUUAAGUGAAGCAGGAAUCAUGAAGGACUAGAUUAUCCUGUUUUGGCAGAGGUAACUUCUUGAUUAUUUCACAUUAUUUGUAAAUCAUUUGUCAUUUCCUGGACAUAUUUUUUUGUCUGUAGAUGAAUUAAGGCAUUUUCCCCCCAGUGGCUAGCUUGUCACAAGUGGAGCAACUCUAUAUAGAGGUAAUGAUGUUCAAUAUUUUCUUUAAAGUAGAAUCGGUGUACUACGAGUAGUAGACAUUUCUCCUAGUCAAAAGAGCUAUUGAUAAAUGAUUUGAAAUAUCAUAUUUUUUUGACCUUUGACAUUUUUAAAACAAUCUAUCUACAUUUGUGGCAUAACUAAGUUGUCAAACAUUGAUUAUUCUUAGCUAUUUACUCUUUGAAUAAUAUUGAAAACACUUGUAAUUAAAUCAAAAUCGUAUAUUGACAUGAGUUUAUUAUUUGACCUUUAAUCUUUAUUAUUUAAUUUUCUUUUUUUGGUGGGGAGAGGAAAGUGUUUAUUCAGCUCAAUCUUUUUUUAUUAGAUAUAUUUCUUUACUUAUAUUUCAAAUGUUAUUCCCUUUCCCGAUUUCCUGUCCAUAAUUCCCCAUCCUCUACCCCUUCCCCAUAUGGGUAUUCCCCCAUCCAUCCCCUUUACUGCCUUCCCUCAUAUUCCCCUGCAUUGGAGGCCCAACCUUGACAGGACCAAGGGCUUCCCCUUCCACUGGUGCCCUAACAAAACUAUUCUCUAUUAUAUAUGCAGUUGGAGCCCAGGGUAAGUCCAUGUAUA